UGAAAGAGCUCAGAUUACACCAUAGGUUGUGUGGUGGAAAAAAAGGGGGGGAAAAAAAGGGGGGAGGAAAAUCCCAUCUUUUUCAGAAAUAUUUUAAUGCUCCCCCUAAUAGUCCUAGGAGUACCUGCCUCCUUUCACAUUCUGUGAUUUUCCCGCAGAGGAAGCACCGACCAAGAAAUUCUUCUGUACACCCCACCAAACCAAACCCAUUCCAAGGCUGGUCAGAGGUGUUCACUACAAGGAACUGGAGAAAACAGGAUGUUUUGCUUCUCUCCCAGGCCUGUGCUCUACCAGUCUGACCUGCUUAUCCUCCUUUCCUUUUCUGCUAUUCAGGAACCAGGUUGUGCCGUUUAAUUUAUUCCUACACUUUUCACCUUGCCUUUAUGUCAGUGCUGGAGGUUUAUAAAUCCUUAAAAAAAAAAAAAAGGCAUAAAGAGCAACAUCAGGAUGAGAACCAGUUUUAACUUCCCAGGUGCAGUUCACCUGGCUGCUUUCCAGAGCCAGUAAUUCAGUAAUUGCUUCAGGACUCACUGCAUAAAAGUGACCAGAAAUAGGACCCCUUCUAGCCAUGAGUAAUUUUAACAGCAUUUUGCAGAGCAGUGUUUCAAAAUGCUUUACGUUGUCCCAAUCUCAUGAGUGAAAAACUGAGUCACCAGAAGGUUUAAAUGUGCUAUCAGACCAGACAGUGGGCUUGGACAUCAUUUUCUGACUUCCAGUCCUGUCCUUUGAUCCCAGGAUUUCUUCAGUGCAUUCAAGCAUAUCAUUUCUGUUCAUUGUCCCACGUGUAUUACUUGUGUCAGGAUGAAUCACAUCUCUGUACACAUGGCGUAAAACUGUAAGUCAGCUCUUACAUAUUUAUUUAUUUAUUAUAUUUUUGAAGUGCCUGGUGGCCUAGCAUCCAUCCAGCAGCAUCCAACAGCAUCCUAGCAACAACUCUUGCCACACAAAGUUGAUCAUUCUGUCAUGUUUAUUGUGUUCCAUAAACAGAUUUUGUUUCAGUCUCGGGGAAGAUGAGCUUGAAAUAGUUUACUUUAUAAAAUCUUGACAGUUUAAAAAUUUCUUAAAGCUGGAUACUGUUUGGUAUGUUGUUGAAAUGAUAGAAAGUCCUCUCUGGUGCAAGUUGCUUGACACAAUAAUAGAUUAUAGCUUUUUCAAGUGUGCUUUGAAGGCCAUAUGAGACAGAGUAAAAAGCCUCAAGGCUCGUUGCAGGUUCGCAGCUGGAUUUUCCAGCAGGCUCCCGAGUGUCACUCACGUGGCAGGUUCCAUGAUAACCCAGCUCCUGACUGUCUGAGAGCCCUUUCCAGCAUGGCAGUGCUGUGGGGCACAAGGUAACGUGCUCACAGGGGAGAGGGUUCCAGCUGCCUGCUCAGGGUUUCACAGGGAAUCUCAGGAGCUCCUGCAGGAAGCCUGGACAUCUGUGAAUGGCCUUGGUUCCCUGCAGGGCCUCUCCAGGUGAGUUCCCUCUGUGCUGUCCCUGCUGUGAGCUGGGUGUGAGCUGUGACCCAGUCACACCUCAGCAACCUCAACAAGCCCUGCACCAGUGCCAACAGUGUCCCUGCAUCCAGCUCAACAGUGAGACAGACCAGAUAAAACCUGCCCAGCUCACAGGAACAGAGACAUGCUUGCACUGAAGCAGCUGCUAAAUCAAAACAAGCAGCUGAGAAAGGAAUUCUGCAGUUCCUCCAUUUUCUCCAUGCUGUAGGUUUGUUAGGGCUGUUUAUGAAACAAUAUAGCCACGGCGUUAAAAGAAAGAAGAAAAUAAAAAUCUUCAUUUUAGUUACACUACUCAAAAAAUACCUGUACCAAAACAUAGGGAUUAAACAAAGCAACACAAAGUCAUAAUUAAGGCCAGUGCCGGAAUUCAUUUUAGCAGAUUAAGCUGUAUUUGAAAAGCAGUUACAAGCUGAGUGAUCCUUGACUAACUUGAACUCUACAUGUGUCCAAUGAUUUACCCUAUGCUGGUGUUUUUCUCAAGGGCAACAAGUACACAUCUUGCAUAAGUACCCAAAAGAGUCUACUUCAGCACAUUUAAAAUCUCUUGCAUUCAAGAAUAAAUUCUCCUGCAACAAUACAGGAGGAGGAGCUGAAUGGCUUUUGUACUUUCUAGAAAUUUAUGCUUUUCUAACAUUUUAUUGACUAAUCAAACAUUCUCCUACAAUGAAAAAUUACAAACAUCAGCAAUUUAAAACACUGUCUGUGAAAAGGACAAUAUCAACUAUGCAUUUAAAUGUCAUGCCAGCUGCAAAAGAAGCCUAGAAUACUUUUUCCUCUUUCUAAGGUACUACCAGAAUGUCAUUGUGUAUUCUCUGGUGAAAUCUCUAAUCAAUUUUACAGUAUAAAGGGGGCAGGGAGGAGAUGGCUGCACUAAAUUAAAACAAUUAAAAACUGUGUAGGGAAUUAUCUUGAGGGACUGAGAGCAUGGUUUUCACACGUAAAUGAGUGCCACUCUGCAUUCAGCCUGAGUCAGUGAGGAAGGAGAGAGAAACCUCAUGGGCUGGGAGCUGGCUGGGGGCUGGCCUUCCAACCCCAACCAUUUUGUGAUUCUGUGAAAGGCAAAGAAAGGUGCCAAAGAGGGGAGAUGAGAGACAGAAGGGAAAGAGCAGGAAAUUGUUGAAAUUCUGUGUCAAUGGGAGAAGAAAUUGCUACACUGGUUUAUGUGUGUUCCUCACAAAACACCAUUCCCAGCAACUUUCUUGGUAGUUUCAAGGAGUCAAGGGCUACAAAACCAGAAAUGAUGCAAAAGUUGCACUGCAUUCUUGUGCUUAUGACCAGCUCCUUUCCAUGAAAUGGGCAGAUGACCAGGAGGACUCUGGCCAGCACCACAACACCCUUUCCAUAAGCAUUCCAGCUGCUGUGCUGAGGCCCAUGUGUCCAGUCUGGAUGCUCUUUGGUGCCCCUGUGAGCACCUUCUCUCCAGGUCUCACUCCCCACCUUGUCCAAAUCCCAUUUCCUACACAAUUAAGGUUAAUGUGACCAGAUUUUGUAUCUGCCCUCCAUUACUGAUUCAAGAAGGAGCAACUUUAGAAUUUCACCAGGUCGUUAAAUACCAAGGAUAGUUUUAAAUCCUGUCAUUGGGAAUUACUGAACAGGCAGAGCCUACAAUCUGUAGGUCAUCAUCUCGGGCUGCAUUUGAAAGCCCUACAGAUUACUAUUAUUAUUGUUUCCAGGAUUAUUUCAUUAUUCACCUUAGAGGUUUUAUUUACCUCAAGGCAUUGGUUCUCAGGGGCUGGCAAAAGGAGUAUCGUGGGCACAAGAGAAGAACAGCUCAGAGCAGCCUGAUAUUUAAUCAUAGGUUGGAAAUAUCUUUUACAGACUUGUCUGUUUGCAACUGUCACUAAGCAUAGACAAUUACUAAAUUAGUCAGCUUCAUUUAUAUUUUUCUUAAGGGAGAUCUUGGAACAUUAGUUGCAUUACAUUUCAGGUUUAAGGAUAAUAAAGCUAUGCAUUCCUCUUGGGAAAGUAAAACAAUAUUAUGAUUAAAAAAUAAAUAAAAUAUAACAAAACUAUUGCAACUAUACCAAAGGUAAAGGGCUAAACUUUGCCCAAUUCUCUUCUUCCCUUCCACAGGGCUCCAGAGCUCUACAGCCACAGGAAGCACUGCUGGGGAGGAGGAUUGCUUCCCUGGCUCCCGCAGCUUGGACACCAGCAUGAGGCAAUCAGGAGGGUAAUCAAGGAGAAAGGUAUACAGGAAUUGCCACAGGAACAUUGUGUCUUACUAGGAGUUCCCAGCGCUACUGAAAUUCAGAGUCUGUGUUUUCUCAAAACAUCUUGAAAGAGAGCUGAAGUGAAAUAAUCUUUCUGGCCCCCACCAGCAACAGCUUACAGUGGGAAGCAACAGUGGGAAGCCAUUAAAAUGUAGUUAUUGAUGUUGCUAUCAAAAUGUAUUACUAAGAGAAAGGCUCAAAGCUGUCCACUGAUCUUUUUACCAUGACUCUGUGACAAAAAAGCUUCCAAAGCAUUCAGUGAACGCUGACCUCCCUGCUUACCUUGGCAAGUAUUUCUUUCCCACUGUCUUUGGGCUCAGGAAGCUCCAAGUGGUAAAAACCAACAGGUACACAGAGGCAGGAGUGCAGAAGGAAUGUUGGAAGGGUAGAUGGACUGAUGCUGUCCUCUGAUGGAUUCGUUGCCCAGGUUCAUGUGUUUAUACAAAACCUGCAAUGCUGUCCACAGCCUCUCAUAGCAGUGGAAUUGCUGAGAGAGCAGCUCUGGGCCAAGCACUUCCAGUUCAGUCAAUCUCUGCCUUCCUUUGCUUUGCCAAGCUGCACAGAGUCAUUGCUUCAAGGUCAGUUUCUGUGUGCUUCAUAAAGUGUCCCCAAACCAGCUCUGACACAGCCUGAGUCAGAUCUUUCCUACAGGGCAGCACCACAGUGUGAAGAAGGAAGUAGAACAAACCCAAAUAUCUGAACCUUCAGAAGCUACUUUAAGGAAAAAAAAAAGAAAAAAAAAA